rnacentral:tRNA from 1 species
ACCUGGGUGGCUCAGUUGGUUAAGCAUCUGACUUUGGCUCAGGUCAUGAUCCCCCGGUUUGUGGGUUCAAGCCCCGCAUCGGGCU